rnacentral:rRNA from 1 species
GCAGUCGAAGCGGGUACCAGAGAGCUUGCUCUCGGGUGACGAGCGGCGGACGGGUGAGUAAUGUCUGGGAAACUGCCUGAUGGAGGGGGAUAACUACUGGAAACGGUAGCUAAUACCGCAUAACGUCGCAAGACCAAAGUGGGGGACCUUCGGGCCUCAUGCCAUCAGAUGUGCCCAGAUGGGAUUAGCUAGUAGGUGGGGUAACGGCUCACCUAGGCGACGAUCCCUAGCUGGUCUGAGAGGAUGACCAGCCACACUGGAACUGAGACACGGUCCAGACUCCUACGGGAGGCAGCAGUGGGGAAUAUUGCACAAUGGGCGCAAGCCUGAUGCAGCCAUGCCGCGUGUGUGAAGAAGGCCUUCGGGUUGUAAAGCACUUUCAGCGGGGAGGAAGGCGUUAAGGUUAAUAACCUUGUCGAUUGACGUUACCCGCAGAAGAAGCACCGGCUAACUCCGUGCCAGCAGCCGCGGUAAUACGGAGGGUGCAAGCGUUAAUCGGAAUUACUGGGCGUAAAGCGCACGCAGGCGGUCUGUCAAGUCGGAUGUGAAAUCCCCGGGCUCAACCUGGGAACUGCAUUCGAAACUGGCAGGCUAGAGUCUUGUAGAGGGGGGUAGAAUUCCAGGUGUAGCGGUGAAAUGCGUAGAGAUCUGGAGGAAUACCGGUGGCGAAGGCGGCCCCCUGGACAAAGACUGACGCUCAGGUGCGAAAAGCGUGGGGAGCAAACAGGAUUAGAUACCCUGGAUAGUCCACGCCCGUAAACGAAUGUCGAUUUUGGAAGGUUGUGCCCCUUGAAGGCGUGGCCUUCCGGAAGCUUAACGCCGUUAAAUCCAACCGCCCUGGGGGAAGUACGGGCCCGCAAGGGUUUAAAAACUUCAAAAUGAAAUUUGACCGGGGGGCCCCGCCACCAAGCCGGUUGGAAGCAAUGUGGGUUUUAAUUUCCGAUUGCCAACCG